AGUAGCUGCCUCACAUAGCAUCUACUUGCCAUUCAAGCCAACUACAUAAUCACAGAUCACAUGAUAAGUCCUCCAAUUUCAGUUAAACCCAUCAAAUUACAUCAAUGUUAUUUAAGAAAAAAAGUAUACUUACUUUGAAAUUACAUCAUGAGUAGAGAAGGAGCUUUUAGGUGGUCUUGUUGGGAUCCAUAUUAUAUUCAUUGAGCAUUAUAUAUAUUUCCUCACCACUGUGGCUGCCCGCGAACUCCUUUAUGUUCUAGAUUUUCUUCUUCAUAAUGCCUGGAAUUUAGUAUAUAUAAAACAUAGUAAAAGGGUGUAACAUCCCAGUAGUGCACUGAAUAUGAACACACAAAUACACCAUUGGAUAUUAGCACAUAAACUGCACAGCUAGGAAUCAGACGUACAAUCUCUGCACCAUCCAUAAUACUUCCAACAUCACAAUAUGAAAGAUUAAUUACUACUUUUUUGUCAUUUUACAGAUAUAAAUCAAUCAUUGAAACUCAAUAUACAAAAAAUCUACCUUCUUUGUGAACACAUAUGCCAGAUGCGCAAAAUUAAAAUCCAGAACGGAAGUAUAAUACUAUUAGUUAGGCAUGAUGCCACUAAUAAAGUGAUUUGCAGGCCAGCUUCUUUAUUAGAGAAACCAAAUCAUAUUUACAGAGACACCUUCACAAAAAUAACAAAUAACAGCAGUAACACCAAGAAAAACUUAAUAUAUGCAUAAAAUCAUACAUUAGUAGAAUUCAGAAAAUAAAGACGAAGCACACAGGAAAAAAAUCCCUAAAUAAUUACCUUCAUUGAUCUCAAACUCUUCAAACUCGUCAUCAUCUUCAAAUAAAUCGAUCUUUGGGUCUUCAGUGGCCACCUUAGUUUCCUUCUCCAUCUUAUCAGCCCAAAAAAACCUUCAUUAAUCACCCAAAAUGUUAAAACAGUGAAUUUAUCAAUUUACCAGCACAGUAAGCCUCAUUCAAAUCAUUAGCCAUAAAAGGCAAGAAAUAUACAGUCUCAAAACUCCAGAUCGUCUAAUCUUAUAUCCUCAAUAACGAAAAUGGAACCAAUUGAUAAUUACAGUUAAUAAAAAUACAAACAUACAAUUUCAAAGAUACUUGCGCAGAGAGACAGAGAAUCAGGUCAAGUUGUGUGUCGUGUUUAGUUUGGUUUAUCAGGAUGCACUAUGUAUGAGCAGCCGGUGCAGAGGAAGACUGGUGGCAGGGGUUUCGGAU
rnacentral:lncRNA from 1 species